rnacentral:rRNA from 1 species
AUUGAACGCUGGCGGCAGGCCUAACACAUGCAAGUCGAGCGGAGCGGCGGACGGGUGAGUAAUGCCUGGGAAUCUGCCUGGUAGUGGGGGAUAACGUCAGGAAACGGGCGCUAAUACCGCAUCCUAUCAGAUGAGCCUAGGUCGGAUUAGCUAGGUGGUGGGGUAAAGGCAUACCAAGGCGACGAUCCUUAACUGGUCUGAGAGGAUGAUGAGGCACACUGGAACUGCGACACGGUCCAGACUCCUACGGGAGGCAGCAGUGGGUAAUAUUGGACAAUGGGCGCAAGCCUGAUCCAGCCAUGCCGCGUGUGUGAAGAAGGUCUUCGGAUUGUAAAGCACUUUAAGUUGGGAGGCGUUACCAACAGAAUAAGCACCGGCUAACUUCGUGCCAGCAGCCGCGGUAAUUC